rnacentral:rRNA from 1 species
AUGUCGCAUCAUUUUCACCUGAGCAGCUCGGUUCUUCCCCUGUCCUUCUUCCCCGGCGAGCUCGGCGCCCGGUUCUCGCCCGCUGAGCCCAGGCCUCUAGCGAGCAGCGGCGGCGUCGCUGUUGCGUCGUCGUCAAGAGCCCUGCGGCCCCACAUGGCGAAGGCGGUGGCAAAGGAGGCGGGGGCGCAGGAGGCGGCGCAAGGCAGCGCGGCGCUCGGGUGGGCGGCCAGGGACGCCUCCGGUGUCCUCUCCCCGUUCGACUUCUCAAGAAGGGCUCAAAAAGAUGAUGAUGUGACGAUCAAGGUGCUCUACUGCGGGAUCUGCCACACUGACCUCUACACCAUCAAGAACGAGUGGGGCACCGCCAUGUACCCCGUUGUUCCCGGGCACGAGAUCCUGGGCGUGGUGACCAGCGUCGGCAGCGGCGUCAGCAAGUUCAAGGCCGGCGACACGGUGGGCGUGGGCUACUUCGUCGGGUCGUGCCGCUCCUGCGAGUGCUGCGGCAACGGGUACGAGAACUACUGCUCCGGCAUGGUGCUCACCUCCAACGGCAUCGACCCCGAGCACGGCGGCGCGGUCACCCAGGGGGGCUUCUCCGACGUCAUGCUCGUGAACGAGGACUACGUCGUCCGCGUCCCGGACGGGCUGCCACUGGACAAGGCCGCGCCGCUGCUCUGCGCCGGCGUCACGGUGUACAGCCCGAUGAUGCGCUUCGGCCUGAACGCGCCGGGGAAGCACCUGGGCGUCGUCGGCCUCGGGGGCCUCGGCCACGUCGCCGUCAAGUUCGGCAAGGCGUUCGGCAUGAGGGUCACCGUCAUCAGCACCUCGCCCGGGAAGCGCGAGGAGGCGCUGGAGCGGCUGGGCGCGGACGAGUUCCUGGUGAGCCGGGACGCCGAGCAGAUGCAGGCGGCGGCGGGCACCAUGGACGGCAUCCUCGACACGGUGUCGGCGUGGCACCCCAUCUCGCCGCUGUUCGCGCUGAUGAAGCCGAUGGGGCAGAUGGUGUUCGUGGGCGGGCCGACCAAGCCGCUGGAGCUGCCGGCGUACGCCAUCGUGCCGGGCGGGAAGGGCAUCGCCGGGAACUGCGUCGGCGGCAUCAGGGACUGCCAGGCCAUGCUGGAGUUCGCGGCGAAGCACGGCAUCACCGCGGAGGUGGAGGUGAUCAAGAUGGACUACGUCAACACGGCGCUCGAGCGGCUCGCCAAGAACGACGUCCGCUACCGCUUCGUCAUCGACGUCGCAGGCAGCCUCGGCUCAACCUCGUGA